AGUGAACGCUGGCGGUAGGCCUAACACAUGCAAGUCGAACGGCAGCACAGUAAGAGCUUGCUCUUACGGGUGGCGAGUGGCGGACGGGUGAGGAAUACAUCGGAAUCUACUUUUUCGUGGGGGAUAACGUAGGGAAACUUACGCUAAUACCGCAUACGACCUACGGGUGAAAGCAGGGGAUCUUCGGACCCUGCGCGAUUGAAUGAGCCGAUGUCGGAUUAGCUAGUUGGCGGGGUAAAGGCCCACCAAGGCGACGAUCCGUAGCUGGUCUGAGAGGAUGAUCAGCCACACUGGAACUGAGACACGGUCCAGACUCCUACGGGAGGCAGCAGUGGGGAAUAUUGGACAAUGGGCGCAAGCCUGAUCCAGCCAUACCGCGUGGGUGAAGAAGGCCUUCGGGUUGUAAAGCCCUUUUGUUGGGAAAGAAAAGCAGCAGGUUAAUACCCCGCUGUUCUGACGGUACCCAAAGAAUAAGCACCGGCUAACUUCGUA
rnacentral:rRNA from 1 species